rnacentral:rRNA from 1 species
AUUGAACGCUGGCGGCAGGCUUAACACAUGCAAGUCGAGCGGAGUGAUGGUGCUUGCACUAUCAUUUAGCGGCGGACGGGAGAGUAAUGCUUAGGAAUCUGCCAUUUAGUGGGGGACAACAUUCCGAAAGGAAUGCUAAUACCGCAUACAUCCUACGGGAGAAAGCAGGGGAUCUUCGGCCCUUGCGCUAAAUGAUGAGCCUAAGUCGGAUGGCUAGUUGGUGGGGUAAAGGCCUAACAAGGCGACGAUCGGUAGCGGGUCUGAGAGGAUGCUCCGCCACACUGGGACUGAGACACGGCCCAGACUCCUACGGGAGGCAGCAGUGGGGAAUAUUGGACAAUGGGCGGAAGCCUGAUCCAGCCAUGCCGCGUGUGUGAAGAAGGCCUUUUGGUUGUAAAGCACUUUAAGCGAGGAGGAGGCUCUCCUAGUUAAUACCUAGGAAGAGUGGACGUUACUCGCAGAAUAAGCACCGGCUAACUCUGUGCCAGCAGCCGCCGUAACAC